CCGGGAUCAGCUAGGAAAGCAGGCGGGAGACAGGACACCCCAAUGCCCCCAGGCCUGCGCGUCUACCCUGUUCCAGAAGGCCUCAGUCCCUCCUGGCUCUGUUUCGUUCCCUCAAACACAGGUCAGGAGCCAGAGGGCAGCCUGCUGAGGCCAGCAUGAUUUGCCAGGGAGGGGUGGGCUGUGCUACCCUCCAUACUUUACACCUGCCCCAGCAUAGCUGGUCUGGCUGCUGCUGCUUCAUAAGUGGAAAGUCCCGCUCCGGUUACACACGGUAGUGCUGCUAGGACUCGAGAAAAAUGACAUGUAAGAGGGAGCAGAGACGUGUCCUGCUCUGCUAGGAGCGCACAGAUACUACCGUGGCUGGGAAGAUUCUGUGGGCAGCCGGGGAAGGAACCCCUAGCACUCGCAUCUCCCCAUCCUCAUCUACGGAAUGGGGAGGGUGAUGGGACAGGGCUGGUAGCCGGAUUUUCAGAGUCUGGCACAGCCUCCCUGUGUCCAGCAGAGGGCGCCAGGGACCGGGCUGAGUAAGCAUGCCGGCCGUCUUGGAAGAGCCGGUGGCAACCUUAUUCUGAGACAAGAUAUUUGCCCGGUGGCCUUCCUGGUCAGUUAACUUCCACUUUUGCCCUGGCCUUUUCCAGUGUGGGAAGCCCCAUGCUCCCCCUCACUGGGAAUUAUUUCUGGGUGGUGUGCAUCCAAUCCUGAAAGUGUUGGGGAGGAGGGAGGGCAACAGAAGGGACAGAGCCUGGCCUCCCCACCCCUGCCCGCCCAGCUGGGCAGCAGGUCCUUCUCAGAACUCAGCCUCUUCUGCUGCUGGAUGCAGUCACAGCGAACCCUCUGGCCCUCUUUAGCAACUCCACGUGCUUCUGGUUCCUCUUCUAGCCCCUAACACAUUCUCUCUCUCUGAUUUGACAACCUCCUGUUCUAUUCAGCCAUUCCUGGAU
rnacentral:lncRNA from 1 species